AAGAAACAGGAAGAGAGAGAGGCGAUGAAGACACGGUGAAAGUAACAAAAAAAGAGAGAGGCGAUCCUACCUUCGCUAGUCCCCUCACCAUACUUCGACCACCAGAACUACAGACACACAGUCUCUUCCAUUCUGAUUCUCCUUUUCCUUUGACAAAUUCAACCGUCUCUCUAUCUUUCUUAAAAUCAAAAACCCUAACCAUUGAGUUCUCCUUCCAUCAGCCUAGCCUCCACCCAUAUACCGUCGGGAAAAACCCCAAUUAAAACAUCAAGCGGUUGGAAGUAUAGCCUCAAUCCCAAUUAACCCAAUUAAAAGGAAAAAAAGAUCAAAAACUUCCAUUACCCAUGUAUCCAUAGUUUGCAAUCAGAGAACGUCUUUCAAUUUCUCUACAGAGAAGAGAUGUGUCAGAGCAGCAAAUCGUAUGGCAGUUGCAGUGACUAUCGAAAGGAUGGAGGGAAGGUGUAAAAAAAAAUGGUGAACUGUUUAUUGUUGAUUACCAUUGUGUCUUAUGUAUGUGUUAAGAAAUAUUAGAUUGAAGAUCAAGUUAUUCACUUAUUUGUACACAGUUAUAAUUAAAAAAA